rnacentral:sRNA from 2 species
CAAGGUGUUAAAUCGUCAGGAUGAGAACCGUAAAGGUUCGAGUCUCGCAAAGCGAGACAACAUCACUCCGGUGGUGGCCCGAAGGGCGAGUUAUCCUACACGACCCACCA